UCUCUCUCUCUCUCUCUCUCUUUCUUUCUCUUCAUUCUAAGUUUUCUUUCCCUCAAUUCCAAGAGCAUAAUUAGCUCUUCUUCCCUAAACAGGCAUGCAAACCAACGUGUGGAAAGCCUCCACCGAAUUUCUGCAAAGAUGUCAAGUUCAAGUUUCAAUGGCAGUAGCUUAGAUCGAUUGACAUACGUCAACAAAAAUUGUUGUAGAUGUAAUAAAAAAGCCACUAUUUGAAUUUCUAAGACCGAUCGAAACAAAAACAAGUUAUUCUACUCUUGCAAUGAUUAUGGUUGUUUUGUUGAAUGGUGCUUGCCUAUGAAUUCAAAUGUAAAGGUCACGUAAUUCCAAGAGAAGAAGUGCUAAUUGUCGGCGAAGAACUUCGAUGUAUGACCGAACAACUUCUAUCUAUGACCGAACAACAAAGAGCUAUGACGGAAGAACUUCGAAUUUAGAGCGCAAAGAUGCAAAAAAAAAAAUGUGUUGUUCGUGUUGCUUGUAAUUGGUGCCUUAUCACUUAUGAAGAUGUAAUAAUAUGUAUAUACAUAUAUAUAUAUAUAUAUAUAUAUGUAAGUUAGAAGUAAAAGUAAAUGUACACUUUUAGAGCAAGUUAUCUUUUGUUGUGUAUUCACUUUCUUUGAACUUGAGUGGAAUGGAACUGUGAAUUCACUUUGAUGUGUGAAUGGAACUAUGUUGUUUUGUAGCGUA